UGGGGAAUAUUGGACAAUGGGGGCAACCCUGAUCCAGCAAUGCCGCGUGUGUGAAGAAGGUCUUCGGAUUGUAAAGCACUUUCGACGGGGACGAUGAUGACGGUACCCGUAGAAGAAGCCCCGGCUAACUUCGUGCCA
rnacentral:rRNA from 1 species